rnacentral:rRNA from 1 species
AGGGGUUCUGAGAGGAAGGUCCCCCACAUUGGAACUGAGACACGGUCCAAACUCCUACGGGAGGCAGCAGUGAGGAAUAUUGGUCAAUGGACGAGAGUCUGAACCAGCCAAGUAGCGUGAAGGAUGACUGCCCUAUGGGUUGUAAACUUCUUUUAUACGGGAAUAAAGUGAGCCACGUGUGGCUUUUUGUAUGUACCGUAUGAAUAAGGAUCGGCUAACUCCGUGCCAGCAGCCGCGGUAAUACGGAGGAUCCGAGCGUUAUCCGGAUUUAUUGGGUUUAAAGGGAGCGUAGGCGGGUUGUUAAGUCAGUUGUGAAAGUUUGCGGCUCAACCGUAAAAUUGCAGUUGAUACUGGCGACCUUGAGUGCAACAGAGGUAGGCGGAAUUCGUGGUGUAGCGGUGAAAUGCUUAGAUAUCACGAAGAACUCCGAUUGCGAAGGCAGCCUGCUGGACUGUAACUGACGCUGAUGCUCGAAAGUGUGGGUAUCAAACAGGAUUAGAUACCCUGGUAGUCCACACAGUAAACGAUGAAUACUCGCUGUUUGCGAUAUACAGUAAGCGGCCAAGCGAAAGCAUUAAGUAUUCCACCUGGGGAGUACGCCGGCAACGGUGAAACUCAAAGGAAUUGACGGGGGCCCGCACAAGCGGAGGAACAUGUGGUUUAAUUCGAUGAUACGCGAGGAACCUUACCCGGGCUUAAAUUGCAACUGACUGAACCGGAAACGGUUCUUUCUUCGGACAGUUGUGAAGGUGCUGCAUGGUUGUCGUCAGCUCGUGCCGUGAGGUGUCGGCUUAAGUGCCAUAACGAGCGCAACCCUUGCCGAUAGUUACUAACAGGUUAUGCUGAGGACUCUGUCGGGACUGCCAUCGUAAGAUGUGAGGAAGGUGGGGAUGACGUCAAAUCAGCACGGCCCUUACGUCCGGGGCUACACACGUGUUACAAUGGGGGGUACAGAGGGCUGCUACCACGCAAGUGGAUGCCAAUCCCAAAAACCUCUCUCAGUUCGGAUUGAAGUCUGCAACCCGACUUCAUGAAGCUGGAUUCGCUAGUAAUCGCGCAUCAGCCACGGCGCGGUGAAUACGUUCCCGGGCCUUGUACACACCGCCCGUCAAGCCAUGAAAGCCGGGGGUGCCUGAAGUCCGUGACCGCAAGGAUCGGCCUAGGGCAAAACUGGUGAUUGGGGCUAAGUCGUAACAAGGUAGCCGUACCGGAAGGUGCGGCUG